GUUAGGGGGGUGUGGCCGGGCCGCCAGGCCGACUGGUAGCCAUGAACUUUAGCUCCAGACCCGAGCACAUGAAAAAGGCACUAAAAGUGUGUGCUGAACACCCCAAAGUUGAUAUCUCCGUAGUACCAGUGAAGAGCAUAACCCCAGCAUCAGAAAGACUCCCAAUAGCCACCAAUAGCAAACUGGAACGUGGGUGCUGAUAUGCCCGGCCUACUCACGACCUGGAGCCUCAAGAGGCAAUUGAGCAGGGCGGGCGGUGCGAGAGAGCCCUGACACAACGCUG